rnacentral:lncRNA from 10 species
GUGUUGCAAAGCCUUUAAUUAGAAUGUUUGUAUUUUUUACAUCAUGCAUAACUUCACAUUUGUGAUUAAUUAGUAAUUAUUUCAAUACUUGUAAGCUCAUCUGCCUCAGAUUUAAUCAUAAUACAUGAAUUAAAUUAAUCAAAUUAAGGAACAGCAAUUUAGAAAGAAACACACUUUAAGAAAUCAAAAUUCUCAAUUCAGGCAGUCUGUUUCUAUCAUUUGGUAUUCUACUCCUUUAAAAAUUUCAUAUUGCCCAACAAAAAGUGGUUAUUUUUACUGUUUUUGGAGAUGACUGAACAGAUGAAGGCAUCAGAUGCCUUCAUCAGCUGGUAUUUUGCCUAAGAUCUAUUUAAGAUAACCUUUUCUUAUAUUUUUUACUUAAUAUUGGGCAUAAUCGUAUCAUUCAAGAUUAAGUCUGGGUUAUUUCUUUGAUAAGAACUGAAUGUGGCCGGGCGCAGUGGCUCACGCCUGUAAUCCCAGCACUUUGGGAGGCCGAGGUGGGUGGAUCACAAGGUCAGGAGUUCGAGACCAGCCUGGCCAGCAUGGUGAAACCCCGUCUCUAC